UCUGAGCAGAAAAGGGUAAUAGGGAAAAACUUUAUAGUUGCUCUCUGAGGCUAGACUAUGGUGGGAUAGGGAUGCCCUAGGGGGAGAGUUAGCCCUGAGAUCUUCUCCUAAAUAGAAAAGUCUGGCAAGAGGCUAGGGGAGACAUGGAGCAGGCUCUAGUGGUGAGGACCCUGAUUAAAAGGGCAGAAUCCUGACUUCCAGGGAGAGAGCUAUGGGAGGUGUCCUAUAGGGCAUUUAGGAACCAUAGAAGGAAGGUCAAGUCAGAGGAGAGCAGAAACUAGUUUAAAUUUAUACUUCUGGUUUGGGAUGUACUGUGAGGAGCCCUGCCCCUGAAAGGAGGCUGAAUUUUGAGAGGCUAUGGAAGAGGCUUGGUGACAGGAUUCAUAGGAAGAAGACUAGGGAGCAAGAAGUCUUGUGGCAUAAACCAUGACUACUUGUCCAUGGUUCCUUGAGUGGAACCUUAUGUAGAGAGUGAGCCUGGGUUCCCCUACCAGCCCCUGGGAAGGUGGUGUAAAGCCUCUGAGAGGGGGAUAUGACCUACUAGAAGCCCUGAGAAGAGGGUAUAUGGACCACUGGGUCCAGAACUGAAGGUGGCAGACUGGAUGGAGGGAUCUGGCAUUUGUUCUUGUUGGCUUUUCAACAAGCUCUGAAUGUAACCUGGCUGGAGAACUGAGUCACAAGAUGGAGGCUGACCACUGCAGGGCUAUCAGCAAGGGGUGCUAGAUGAGGAAAGUCUACUAUGCCCAUGAAGUGGUGCCCCAGAAGACCUCUGAGCAUUCUUCAAGCUCCCAGUGAAGUCCAGAAAAGCUCUGCAGCAAAAGAUAUUUGGGAAAGUGAUCAGGUUUGUGCUUUUUUUUGGUCUGUUGUAUGCUGGUGAAAAGGACUACACUGACAACUCAAGGCUGACCAAAAGUGAAUCUGGCUAAGGCUUGAUGAUGUUGCAAUUUUAUGCAUGGUGGCACAUAGCAAAGUUGUUGCACUCACUGCACAUGGAAGCAGCACCUAACAAAGUAAGGUUGCAAGCAGGAUUAAAUGCUAGUAGUAAUAUGCUUCCAACUUCUCCUGAAAGGAGACUGAACUCCCCCAUAGGCAUUCCAUUCAAUCCUUGGCCUCCUGGAGACAAACAACCAACAGGGGCUAACUGAUGCUAAAUGCAAAGGUGGAUUUGGUGGCAUGGGCACCUCUUCUCUGAGAACUGGACUGAAAUCCCAACCCAUUUCACACAGGAUGCCCAGCAGCCAUCAGAUGGCAACAGCUUUUGGUCCCUGCCCAUCUGAGUUGGACUGGAACAGGCAACUUGUUGGCAUCCCACGAAAGCCACACAGUUCUCCCCAAUGUCUUUCAAAAUGUAGCUGGUUCAUGUUUAAGGAGUUUGGAACACUAGCCUGACCUUUCAUUCCCUCGACACGUCGUCCUGAGACAAUUUGGUGGGGGAGACCUUUUUUGUUGCCCUUGGAUAUUUCAUAAUUGUAAAUAUUUUAUAACAAGUUAAAUGUUAAUUGUGUGCUGUCGUGGGAGAAGAUCCAUUGUCAUAGUCAAUUAACAUUUAAUUUAUUAGCCAUCAAAUAUUUAAAUAGUUGAUAUCCAAUGAACCUUUUCA